UCCCUUCAGCCGCGUGUCCUUUGUCAGGUACUCAGUGAUGUUUUUCUGAGGACAGCCAUGCUACAAGAAAUUUCAAUAGAGAUGGCCAGCAAACUCUGGAUUUACUUUUCCAAUCUAUGAAAUGUUAACACAAAUGGAUUUAUCAAUACUCUGGUAUGUUUUUUUCUUCAUCGAAAGAGAAUUCAUCAGAUUCAGCUGUCUCUGCCAUUUGAAGGUAACAGCUACAGGGGGUGGCUAAAGGACCUUGGAUAUUCUCUGCAUCACUUACUCCACCGUUUACCAUUUUGAUGGUAUCGGGGUGAAAAAUUUGCAAGCUUACCAUUUGGAAAAUGGGAUGUUCACCAUCCAAAGGUAAUACUUUUGGGACUGCGGGCUCUUUGAAGAGGGGAAGAAUGUUGCCCGCUGUACCUCCAGAGCAGCCUAGACAAGUCAAUGCCAAUCAUAUUUCUGCUGGAUCUAUUAAAGACAGGAAGUCUAUUGGACAAAAACAGUUACUUCAAGAGGAUGAACUGCCAUUAUCACAAGAAGAUACACGUGUGACUGUACCUGCCACAGAGGUAUUAAACCCGAAUACAUUGACAAGUCAAAGGAUAGAUAACAGCAACAUGAUGCAGAAAAACGUAAACAAUGGGGACAAGCAGGAAGUAAUUGAGAAAAAGGCAGGCAAAAAAACAAAGAGGAUUUCUAGAGGUAUGAAAGUGCUGAAAAGGAAAGAUAAGGAGAUGCAGAAAAUUGAUUUCCCCGAACUUCUGGUAAAAGCUCACCAAGCUGCUUAUGCCUUUUUAAAUCCCAGCAUAAACAAAUAUGAUGAUGUACUUGAACUGCUGGAAAAAGCAAUGCAAACUCAAGCCUUUUUACAGCCAAUGGUUUCUUUUCUGGCAUUGCGCUAUGAAGAAAUAAUUCAGGUUCUGGAAGAAAUUGUUGAUGAAGGAGAAAAAAUGCUUAAAGAACAUGGCGAACAUCUUGCAUGGCCAAGUCAAUUGAAAAACCUCUCAUCUUCUGCACCUCUAAAAUCACGCUCUGCUGUAGAGCCCCCACCGGAUUUGUUGCAGCAGCUGCUUCAAUACACCACACAGAGAAUGCAGAAUGUGAGCCAGACUGUUGGAGGAAUUGGGGACUCUGCCCUGCAGGAGGCGGUGGAAUACUUCUAUUCUGUCUCAGAACUUUUAGAGGAGAAACUGAAAGUCAAACGUGAAGUUGAGACUAGGAUAAUGCGACUGUCAUCCCGCAUUGAAUUGGCAUCUCUUCGCAAACUCGGGGCAGAAGACUCUGCUCUUUUUAGCGAGGACAGUGGUAUUGGGGCUGAGAGUGAAUCCCUUGCUGGAUCAGAAGGGCAUCAUAGGCGUGUGAGUUGUGAAUCUAGUGGAACGAACAGAACUACUCCAAUACGUCAUUUGGCAUACACCUCAGCAGGAGUGGCAAGGAAAAAACAGGCGUGUCAAAUAAGUCCAAGUGCUUCCCUCACUUCACUGAACUCAUUAGCUUCUAUGUGCACAAUGAUGGCUAAUAUGCAAGGUGAAUCAUUACAAGGAUCAGUCUCUUUAGAUGAUGGCGAGGAAGAUGAUGAUGGAAAUAAAACGGAUGGAGACAUUGGAAAUAGACACGAAGGGAUGAGAAAGCAAAUUACUUCUCCACUGUUAAAUUGUGAACAACGAAAACCAUUUCGCUUACCCUCCAAACGUAUAGAGAAUCCUAAAAACGUAGAAAUGACCUUAAAAAUGAAAAAUGCUAUGAGUGGUAAAUUACAGUUCCACCAAUCAACAAGUGUUGUUGCCAAAUCAAAGGUAACAGGUAGUCCAAAAGCAGUGAGAGGACAAGUGACUGAUGAGGUGGGGCCAACUCUAAAAAGAUCUCAAACAACAGUUCGAAGAGCAGUAGUCAAAGCAACCCCAGUGGUGGAAGAAAGACGUUCCCGUUCUGUUGAAUCCUUGCGGAGCAAAUGUGACGAUCCCACUUUGCUUGAACUGGAAAAGCCUCAGAAAAAAAUAAACCAGAGGUUGCAUAAAACAGCCAAACGCAAGGACAGCGUAAAGCAAAAUUCAAAGGCAACACAAUCCAAACAAAGUCAUAGAACAUCACCAGCAGAUUCUCCGAGAAUAAAUCGUAAGCACCCAUCUUUGGAGAAAGAGGGCAAUCUACGAGACAAGGCAACGCUUACAAAGCGCAUCACCAAAUGUCAGGAAGCUGCCACCAGUAUAGAGGAAGACGAUAAGCCGAAAGAUCAAACAACAUUUAAGGGCCCUGUUAAAGCUACACCCCCUCCGAGCCCCCCUGUAUCACCAAGACCCUCUUCAAGUCUGUACAAAGGCAGGAAUUCUGUCAGAAAACUCAUAGAUACUUUCAGUCAAGGAAUAGAAGAUAUGGACAGCUCUGAUGUUAUUGGACCACUUAGGGGUGUACGAAAGUGUGGUGUUCCAGUGUUGCCAGGUUUAGGAAAUGUCACAGCUUUCCUGAGCCCGGGGAAAACCAGUUGUAGACCUGAUCGAACACAAUGUGAGAACACUGAUUAUUUAGAUUUGGAUAGUCUUCCUCCACCCCCACUAGAAGUGUUAAUGGACAAUUCAUUUGAAAGUGCUGGUGUAACAGAUGCUGGAACAAUCAAACCUGAAAAAUCACCAAUGGCAAAAAGGACUGGACUGUCACAGCGACUACGGGCCUCAGGUCAAUCUGUGAUAGUGCUACCAAGCAAAGGUGGUGUGCCACAAUGUACAAAGGAAAUUUCCCCAGCUAAAGUAGAUAAAGUCAUAACAUUCCAGACAAAUGUCAGUCAACCAGAUGUUCAAGGAGAACUUGACCCAAUGAAGGAAAUAAAUUCUACUUUGUUGCUGCAAAUUAGAAAAAAUAGAUACCUUAAACACUCUUCCAACUCACAGUUGGAAAAUUCUUUAAACAAUUAUGAAGUAACAAGUCAAUCUACAAGUCAAAAUAAUUCAACAACUAUACAGGAGGAUGACAACCUCUUGAUGGCAGAAAUAAACUCAACAUUGUCCGAAGUGCCUCCCUCAUCGGCCGCCAGUAUUCAGUCAUUUGCCACUCCAGCACAGUCAAAGGGUCGAGUGUUGCCAUCCACGCCUUCGACUAAAAGGACUACUCAUCGAAGACUUCCUAGUCCCCAUAGUUUCAAAAAGCCACCAACACCGCCCUCGUCAGCCAGUCCCCCAGUAACCAGAAGACCUACCACUACACCAGAAGGUCCCAAGAUGCAUACCAGCUGGCCUGUUAUGAAGACUUUGAAUUCAAAUGUUUCCUCCUUAUACCCCUUCAAAGCACCAUCACCGCCUGCUUCACCAAAAGUUCAAAGAUGGUCAAGAGAAAACAGCACCGAAGACUCUCCUCGGUUGAUCAGUAAUGCACGGUCCGUCUUUUGCCCAAUUUCCUCAUCCUUGUUUGAGGCCAAGCCUUGUACAGCGCCUCAAACGACUCAAGCCUGGACGUCUGCCGGAGGCUCUUCUCUAACACAUACUUGUGGGAAUCGUGGCCGGUUUCCUAUGUAUGUCACAGGCCCUCGACCUUUUAUCCAACGAAGCCAUUCAGAAAGAAGAUCAAGUUUAAACCUUCCACCUCAAUCCCCAGGCUUCUCAGUUGCUGAGACUUGUGGAAGUGAACCAGCUAUUUGCACACAGGGACUAGAUGAUGAACUAUCAAGAGAAGCGGAAUCAUGGGGAAGCCAGUCCAGCCUCAGAUCAACUCCACUCUCUGCAUCCUACCCGGAUUUGUGUGUUGUUGGACAGGCCUUGCACAGGGACUAAAUGGACCAAUGACCAGUGGACCACUGGGAUUAUGGAUUAACAGGUUUUAGAAAGGAUUUAAAGUGAUGAUUCACCACUGGUAAGAGAGGAGUCUUUGUAGCCACCUUGAGGUUCUACAACACAUGGACAAUGUCCAUCCAUCCAUCCAUCCUUUUCUACCGAUUAUUCAAUGUCGGUAUGAGCAAAUGUGCAUUUCUACAUAUUUAUACAUUUCAAGCAGAUGCAAAAAAAGCAAUCUUGUGCUGACAUAACCUGAUUUAUUUACAAAACGAGGUUGAUUGAUCAGCGGAUUCCUAAAAGCAACAUCCUAUUUCAUAUAUUUUUGUAAUAAAAAUAUCAUUUUGAGCUACCAGACUUUCUAUUACUGUUACUGCACGUUCCAGAAGCCGCUGAUUCUAUGACAGUUUUCCGUAUGUCAAAACACUGUAUGUAAUUAGUUUAUAACCAAUGAUUUUUUUUUUUUUUUAAUUUUCUGUUUUUCAGACCUCUUUUUGUACAGUGUAGUAAACUGUAAACAAACAAUGUUCCUUGCAAUUUAUAUUAAUUCUGUUGACUCCAUCCAUUGUAAAUACUGUUUACUGGGGGUGUUUACAAAAAUCGAUUCACAUUCGAAUCAGGAUUAUUACUUAAUUUUAUAUAAUAUUUUUUUAAAUAAAUAUUACGUAAUUUAAAAAAAUAAUAUUUGUUUUCUUUUAAAGGGGUCAUAUUAUGAUUUAUUACCUACAUUCAACACAUGUAUUUGUGGUCUACAUAAUACAUAAUAGUGGUUUGCAAAUAUUAUAUUUUACGGACUAUCUUCAAGCCGCUUUCUGAUCGUCUCUUCAGAAUUCACCGUUUUAUGGACGGUCUUAUUUACGUGCCUCCACUUCGGCUGUCUCUCUUCUCCUCGUCAGCCAUGUUGUAGUUUAAUCUGUUUUAGUCUUUAUACUGAAAUUAAUAAGUUAGAACUAUGGACUUUUUCGUAUUAGAAAUGGCAACGGCGGAGAAUGCAUGUGCAUGUACGAGCCAUUCUGCCCCACAACAAGAAGAUAGACAAAAAGAAGGCUCUUAUUGACCACAUUGUCGGAAUACAUAGGCGGACGAAAGCUCUUCAAAAAUCUCUACCAUAUAUGGAGGUAUAUUUACUGACUUCACUAAUACCAAAACUUCACAAGUUGGGUAAAUUCCAAAUGGCUCAUUUGGAGGAAGUAUAAAGUGAGGCAAGAUUGUUUUAUGAAUCCCUCUGAGAUGCCUCCAUGGUUUGAUUUCAAAUUUUUAGUAUUUAUGCAGAUCCUAAAUGCACAAAAACAGGUACCAAUAGGUAAAACAAAAUGGUUUUACAUAAUAGGUUCCCUUUAAGGUUUUUUUUUUUUUAAAUACCAUUUUUAGGCCAUCUCUGUGCUUACUCGCUGCGCAUACACUUCAUAUAUCAGGCCCCAAGAGGAGCUUGUGUAAACCUGUAACUUGAAAAAUGUUUCAUUAUAAUUUGUAUCCCAAAUAAUAUAUUACAAGAAUCAGUUUGGCUCAAGAAACAUGAGUGGUUCACAAUCACGGGUUCCCAUCCCCACUGUUUACUAUUCACGAUAAACUAUUGAAAUAAGUAUCAUACUUGGUAUAAUUCAAUACUGUUGAAUUUGGACGCUGGAGCAGAGACAAAAAACAAUAAAUUAAAAAUUAGGCCAAAAGCUAGGAAGGCAGAGAGAAAAGCUGAAUGAAGUGGACAGAGCCAUAACAGGAGAAAGAUGAAAAAUAACAGAAAUGGCACAAAAGUAUGAUUAGGAAUAUGCAAUGACUCUGAAAAGAUCAGGUAUAAUUGGUAAUAACCAGAUAAACAGCAUAUUAAAGAAAAGGUCUUUCUGUCACAGAGAAAUUGUGUGUUACUGGUAAUAGAGGGUUUAAGCAGCAAUUAAAUGACUGAAUGAUUGGACAUUCAAGCAAAACUGGCCACUGUACUAUGCAUGCGAUUAUUUGGGGACAAUCGCAGCGUAAAAUGAGUAUCAAAGCCCGCUCUGCCAACAAUUUAUUGGACACUGAACAUUUUGGACUUGCCAACACAAUGUGAAUGUUACAGCCAGGCAACACAGCCAAUACACUGUAACUGGUAUUCAAAAUAACAGCGUUGAGAAUUUCAGUGACAUAUAUCCUUUUUGUUACCUAAAUAAUACACUGUAUACAUUUUUCUGAAAAUAGGAUGUAGCUACAUUAAGGCCUAAUCUACAAAACCCAAAACCAGUGAAGUUGGCACAUUGUAUAAAUUAUACAUAAAAACAGAAUACAUUGUUUGGCAAAUCCGUGUCAACUAAUAUUAAAUUGAAAUGACGACAAGGACAAGAUAUUUAAUGUUCGAACUGAGAAAGUAAUUAAAAAAAAAAAAAUCAUUAACUUAGAAUUUAAUGGCAGCAACACAUUGCAAAAAAGUUGGCACUGGGGCAUUUUUACCACUUUGUUACAUGGCCUUUCGUUGAGAACAUCAAUUUUUGAAACUUUUCAUGUGGAAUUAUUUUCUAUUCUUGUUUGAUGUACAGCUUAAGUUGUUCAACAGUCCGGGGUCUUCGUUGUCGUACUUUAUGCUUCAUAAUGCGCAACACAUUUUCAAUGGGAGACAGCUCUGGACUACAGGGAGGCCAGUCUAGUUAAUACCCGCAGUCUUUUACUACAAAGUCACGCUGUUGUAACAAGUGCAGACUGUGGCUUGGCAUUGUCUUGCUGAAAUAAGCAGGGGCGUCAAUGAAAAAGACGUUGCUUGGAUGGCAACACAUGUUGCUCCAGAACCUUUAUGUACCUUUCAGCAUUAAUGGUGCCUUCACAAAUGUGUUAGUUACCCAUGCUUUGGGCACUAAUACGCCCCCAUACCGUCACAGAUGCUGGCUUUUGAACUUUUCCACUUUGCAUCAGUCCAUCUUAGAUGACCUUGGGCUCAGCGAAGCUUGUGGUGUUUCUGGGUGUUGUUGAUAAAUGGCUUUUGCUUUGCAUAGCAGUGUUAGCUUGCACUUACAGAUGUAGCAACCAACUGUAGUCACUGACAGUGAUUUUAUAAAGUGUUCCUGAACCCACAUGGUGAUAUCCUUUACACAAUGAUGUCGCUUUUUGAUGCACUACUGCCUGAAGGAUCCAAGGUCACUGGCAUUCAAUGUUGGUUUUCAGCCUUGCUGCUUACGUGCAGUGAUUUCUCCAGAUUCUCUGAAACUUUGGAUGAUAUUCUAGACCUCAGAUGGUGAAAUCCCUAAAUUUGUUGCAAUAGCUCGUUGAGAAAUGUUGUUCUUUAACUGUUUGACAAUUUGCUCACGCAUUUGUUGACAAAUUAGUGACCCCCGCUCCAUCCUAGUUUGUGAAUGACUGAGCAUUUCAUGGAAGCUGCUUUUAUACCCAAUCAUGACAUCCACCUGUUCCCAAUGACAUCCACCUGUUCCCAAUUAGCCUGUUCACCUGUGGGAUGUUCCAAUUAAGUGUUUGAUGAGCAUUCCUCAACUUUUUUGCCAUUUGUGCCACAUUUUUUGAAACAUGCUGCAGGCAUCAAAUUCCAAAUGAGCUAAUAUUUGCAAAAAAUAACAAAGUUUACCAGUUUGAACAUUAAGUAUCUUGUGUUUGCAGUCUAUUCAAUUGAAUAUAGGUUGAAACAAGAUGAGCAAAUCAUUGUAUUUUGUUUUUUACACAACGUGCCAACUUCACUAGUUUUGGGUUUUGUACUAAGAUCCAAAUAACUGCUAAAUAGUGGGUAAACACUAUGAAAUUGUGUGUACUAUAAUUGAUGUUUCACGGAUGAUCAACUAAGACUGUGUGUACACUCAACAAGUGUAAAAAUGGUGCUUCGCCUAAUUUAAAGGACGUUUUUGCAUGUAUACCGGCUGUCACCAUGGAGAGACUCAUUUUCCUCCACAUUUAUGCCAUCCUAUGGUCCAUCCUUUGGCGUUUAUUCAUGUUUUUGACAUGCAGCACACAACUAUAUUAUGUACCACAUUUUCUGGGCUUUAUCGAAGCCCCAUUUACAAAACAAACCACACUUUUAGCAAGCUAAAGAUGCGCUUUGGGAUGCUCUGUGGUGUUGUGAUCGUUUAGAACAUUCAAUUUGCAAGACGUUUUUUCAUAUAGGAGAUAUAUUGUAAUAAUAUAUUUUUUACAUGAAAAAAUGAAUGGCUUUAAAAAAAAGAAGAAAAAAAAAGUAAUUUGUUUUAAUCAGUCCCUUAAGUCAAUAAAGGUAUAACAUGUCACGGAGGAUAUUCCUUAUAUUUUUUUGUUUCUGACAUUCCAAAGAUGUUGACACUCAAACAGAUUGAAUAUUCUCUUUCUUAAUAGUUAACCACCUUUCUUAACACCUUUUGUGCGUAACUGUGCCAGUUUGCACAUUCUUUGCAGACAUGUUAAAUAUAAACACCAAACUGCAGCCGCAGAACACUUAUAGUCUUGAUAAAUCACAUUGCAAGUGCUGAAUGAUUAUAUCUGCAUCUUAUCCUCCCAGUAUUGUGGGUGUUUUGAUAAUCAGCACAAAUUCUGCAUAUACAUGAAGACAAACACACUAAAUGGAUUGCGCUCUCUAUUUUUAUCCUUUUAUAGAUUAGACCGUAAAUAAGACUCAAGAGGUGUGUUUUGUUAUUGCUAAACCAUUAUCCAAUUGCACAUUUAUUCAGUCUACACAUUCUCCAGCAUUUCAGAGCACGUAAUAGACAACAACUAGAUUUGUUGUCAGCUGCUGCACGGAACCCAUCAGUUUGUGUACAAUUGCAGUCAGAUGUCAAAGAUUACUGCGUGGAGAAUUUUUGACAGAACCUUUUUUUUCCCCGUGUUGCUCGGAAACAUAUGCAUAAUGUAUGACCUCAUGAGGAAAUGCAAAACAUUCACAGCUGAACAAUAACAGCGGAUUAUAUGACCAGAAUAGAAAAAUAGUCUGUGCAAAAACCUUGACAUUUUAUCUUAUUUAAUUGUGAUUGAAAACCAAUACAUCAGCAUCUGCUUUGUUUUCAGCAAAUCCUACUGCAAGAUGACAGCAUUAGUUCUUUACCGACCCCUGUAGUCACAUCAGAAUAUCACAAUCUAAGCUUUCCAUCCUGCUAUGAAAGUCUCAUCCAUUGCACCAAAGCAAGUCUAAAGCAAAUACAAAAAUCUAAUGUGUCUCCCUUUAUCCCAUUUAAACAGUUUGACCAUUUUGGCUUACAGUUAUUGAUCUCUGUGGUCCACCGGAACAAAUGAAAAACAGGACACACCAGCUGCCAUGGAUGUGUCUUAUCAAGGCACCAUGCCCAACGCUGGUGUGGACAUGGCAGCUUUCAGAUAAUACUAUCUGACAACCAUCUGUGAGCUGUAGCCUCUAACUUCAAGGCUACCAUAUCUGCAUCUCGGGAUUCGUCACCACCUUUUCCUGACAGUGUUACCUCAUCAAAGGAACAAUGAAAUCCAAAAUCAACGUGAGGAAGAUCCUCCCGUCUUACGAGGGGCCAUUCUUUGUGUUGGGACAGUUGGACGACCUGUUCAAUCGAAACCAGAAAGGGCCAAAAACUAAGCUGAAGGUGGUUCACCACAAUCAGCUAAAGCCUUAUUGCGGCCGUGACCCACUGGACAACACCUUGGUCCUGGAGCAAGCGCAGCUCUGGACACCAAUGGAGGUGCCACCCCCGGAUGAUGUCGAUCCUGCUGUGUACAAUCAUUUCCCAAAAUUUUAGUAUUUUCUUAGUUUCAGUUAUUACUUCAUAUAAAAGUAAUUCUUUUCACAAUAUGCCCUGAAUGGGCUCUGCAGCGUUUGGAGGAAAACUUGCAUACGUCACAGAAAAUUGUCAGUUAGUUGAACACGUUUUUAGAUUCACAAGAUUUUGCGCACGCCGAUACUCUAAACUCUUGAAGCAAGUAAACAAUUCUGCUCUGAUGAUGGAGCAUGACCACAUGAAAACUUUCUCCAAAAAUGUGCUUGCACUGACUACAGUGUAUGAUUUGUGGAAUACGCCUCCAUGCAAAAUGUUUCGUCCUUGGUUAUUCAAGACAUGUUGGAAAAUAUCAUCGUUCCAAUAUUUGAUGGAGAUAGAUAUCUACAUAUAUCCAUAUUUUAGAGUUAUUUCUUCCUCUAGUCAUAUUCGAAAUAGCUAGUGUUUUCCAUUUGUACUUUUUCUAUUUUAUAAUCUCAUUUCUUUGGUACACUGCAAGUUAAUCUUGGCUUUAGGAAUGUGAGGAGCAGAUAUACUCCCUUUCUUAUCUCAUCCUGUACUCAGCUAAGGAGAAACAAUAGACAUGUGUAUUGGUUCCGGAGGGUGGGGGCUGAUUGGAUUCAAGAAGUAGUCUCUUCCCGUU